GACGAACGCUGGCGGCGUGCUUAACACAUGCAAGUCGAACGGUGAACGAGGGAGCUUGCUCCCUCCGGAUCAGUGGCGAACGGGUGAGUAACACGUGAGCAAUCUGCCCCGAACUCUGGGAUAAGCGUUGGAAACGACGUCUAAUACCGGAUACGACGCUGGAGGGCAUCCUCUCCGCGUGGAAAGAACUGCGGUUCGGGAUGAGCUCGCGUCCUAUCAGUUUGUGGGUGAGGUAGGGGCUCACCAAGGAGGGGACGGGUAGCCGGCCGGAGAGGGGGAGCGGCGACAGGGGGACUGAGAGAAGGCCGAGAAUACUAAGGGAGGCAGGAGGGGGGAAUAGUGCAAAAUGGGCGGAAGGCUUAUGAAGCAAAGCAGCGAGCGGGAGGACGGCCGUCGGGGUGGAAAACGCUUUCGACGGGGACGAAGCGUGAGUGACGGUAAUGGGUAAAGAAGCACCGGCUAACUACGUG
rnacentral:rRNA from 1 species